CGGAGGAUCCAAGCGUUAUCCGGAAUCAUUGGGUUUAAAGGGUCCGUAGGCGGUUUUGUAAGUCAGUGGUGAAAGCCCAUCGCUCAACGGUGGAACGGCCAUUGAUACUGCAAGACUUGAAUUAUUGGGAAGCAACUAGAAUAUGUAGUGUAGCGGUGAAAUGCUUAGAUAUUACAUGGAAUACCAAUUGCGAAGGCAGGUUGCUACCAAUACAUUGACGCUGAUGGACGAAAGCGUGGGGAGCGAACAGGAUUAGAUACCCUGGUAGUCCACGCCGUAAACGAUGGAUACUAGCUGUUCGGAGCAAUCUGAGUGGCUAAGCGAAAGUGAUAAGUAUCCCACCUGGGGAGUACGUUCGCAAGAAUG
rnacentral:rRNA from 1 species